rnacentral:rRNA from 1 species
CCUACGUGUGGCAGCAGUGGGGAAUAUUGGGCAAUGGGCGCAAGCCUGACCCAGCAACGCCGCGUGAAGGAAGAAGGCUUUCGGGUUGUAAACUUCUUUUCUCAGGGACGAAGCAAGUGACGGUACCUGAGGAAUAAGCCACGGCUAACUACGUGCCAGCAGCCGCGGUAAUACGUAGGUGGCAAGCGUUAUCCGGAUUUACUGGGUGUAAAGGGCGUGUAGGCGGGACUGCAAGUCAGAUGUGAAAACCACGGGCUCAACCUGUGGCCUGCAUUUGAAACUGUAGUUCUUGAGUACUGGAGAGGCAGACGGAAUUCCUAGUGUAGCGGUGAAAUGCGUAGAUAUGACGAAGAACCCCGAUUGCGAAGGCAGCUUGCUGCAGCGGAACUGACGCUGAUGCUCGAAAGUGUGGGUAUCAAACAGGAUUAGAUACCCGUGUAGUC